ensembl:misc_RNA Y_RNA Y RNA
GGCUAGUCCAAAGGUAGCGUCCACCGUCAGUUACAGAUCAGAUCCCUGGUUCUCCUCUUUCCUCCCUUCUCACUACUGCACUUGACUAGUCUCAA